rnacentral:tRNA from 51 species
GGUCCUAUAGCUCAGUUGGUUAGAGCACCUGACUCAUAAUCAGGGAGUCCUUGGUUCAAGCCCAAGUGGGACCACGA